rnacentral:rRNA from 1 species
AACGAACGCUGGCGGCAUGCCUAACACAUGCAAGUCGAACGAGAUCUUCGGAUCUAGUGGCGCACGGGUGCGUAACGCGUGGGAAUCUGCCCUUUGGUUCGGAAUAACUUCGGGAAACUGAAGCUAAUACCGGAUGAUGACUUCGGUCCAAAGAUUUAUCGCCAAAGGAUGAGCCCGCGUAAGAUUAGCUAGUUGGUGGGGUAAAGGCCUACUAAGGCGACGACCUUUAGCUGGGCUGAGAGGAUGAUCAGCCACACUGGGACUGAGACACGGCCCAGACUCCUACGGGAGGCAGCAGUGGGGAAUAUUGGACAAUGGGCGAAAGCCUGAUCCAGCAAUGCCGCGUGAGUGAUGAAGGCCUUAGGGUUGUAAAGCUCUUUUACCCGGGAUGAUAAUGACAGUACCGGGAGAAUAAGCUCCGGCUAACUCCGUGCCAGCAGCCGCAGUAA